AGUGAACGCUGGCGGCAGGCCUAAUACAUGCAAGUCGAACGGCAGCACAGCAGAGCUUGCUCUGUGGGUGGCGAGUGGCGGACGGGUGAGGAAUACAUGGGAAUCUGCCCAGUCGUGGGGGAUAACGUAGGGAAACUUACGCUAAUACCGCAUGCGCCCUUCGGGGGAAAGCCGGGGACCUUCGGGCCUGGCGCGAUUGGAUGAGCCCAUGUCGGAUUAGCUAGUUGGCGGGGUAAUGGCCCACCAAGGCGACGAUCCGUAGCUGGUCUGAGAGGAUGAUCAGCCACACUGGAACUGAGACACGGUCCAGACUCCUACGGGAGGCAGCAGUAGGGAAUAUUGGACAAUGGGCGCAAGCCUGAUCCAGCCAUGCCGCGUGAGUGAAGAAGGCCCUCGGGUUGUAAAGCUCUUUUGUCCGGAAGAAAAGCGCCGGGUUAAUACCCUAGUGUCCUGACGGUACCGGAAGAAUAAGCACCGGCUAACUUCGUGCCAGC
rnacentral:rRNA from 1 species